ensembl:lncRNA
ACUAAAUUAAAAUAAACAUUACUUAAUAAAAAACAAACAUUGGAAUAUAAUAAUAAUAUAAUUUGUUUUAAACAUUACAACUGUAAAAUUAAAUAUUAAUAUUUAUGGUUGUCUUAAUUUCUUCAUUUUUAUACAUUAAACCAUCAAGCUUGAUGGAAAAACACAGGGAGUGCAUCAGUUUCAGAUUCACCCAUCAAUUAAUCUCAUGUAAAAACAAACUGUUUGUAAGACUCUUCUGCGUUGGUCAAUUGUGUUAUUAUGGAUUAUAGACUCAUAUUUUGACUGGAAACAAUGAUUUGGAGAUAAAAGCGUCUUAAUGCUGGAUGUGUUUCAUCUUUUGUCUUCUCCAGAUGUUCACUGAUGGACUGGAGUGCUGUGGAUUACUUGUGGAUUAUUGUGAUGUUUUUAUCAGCUGUUUGGACUCUCAUUCUGACGGCAGCCAUUCACUUGCAGUGAGCAAGUGAUGCAAUACUACAUUUCUCCAAACCUGAUGAAGAAACAAACUCAUCUACAUCUCAGAAGACCUGAGGAUGAAAGUCUGCGAGGAACGAGUGCAGACAGGUUGUUUCCCGCGAGUGCCGUCAGAGGAAUCUGUUACAGCGAUCGUCCCGAAACAUCACAAAAACAUGCUCUCGCUGCAUCAGAAUCAAUCAAUCGAGGGCCAGAUUCCCCUCGCGUUCAGGUCAACAAACCAGGAAGAAAACCAGGUCUCUCUGUGAGUCCGGUCUCCCCGUUUGAGAUGCAAAAACUAGGGCAAAUUCUCCACAAAAUAAAACGAGCUAAGCAAAUUAAGAGGCAACCGGGGCCAGAUGAGGCUGUUGUUCUUGGCUCAGGGAUUGUGUUUAGAGACUCUCCUGCUCUACAUUCACUGAAAGCUAGUCACAUGAUUACCUCGAGUCACCCGGAUCCUGCCCGUAAUACAGCGCUUAAUUGAGUAAUGCUUGUAUGCCGUUACACGAAAGAGACUCGGCUAUCAAACUAAUGCUGGGGCUCCUGUGACAGCGGCUCUAGUGAGCUGCCUAUGUAGGGAUCAUUCCUGCGUCCCGUUCCAGAAAAAAGACAAUUGUGAAUAUGUUCUAUUAAAGAAUCUUAAAGAAAGUUGUAAAUAAAUCAAAGACUGCCAGAGUACUUUUCA